CGCUGGCGGCGUGCUUAAUACAUGCAAGUCAACGACUUUUAGAGUAGCAAUAUUUUAAAAGGAGUGGCGCACGGGUGAGUAACACGUAGGUAAUCUGCCUUCAGGACUGACACAACUCGUCGAAAAGACGGGCUAAUAUCAGAUAAUGCAGCGGCUCCGCAUGGAGACAGUUGUUAAAGUACAAGCGCCUGAAGAUGAGCCUGCGGUCCAUUAGCUAGUUGGUAGAGUAACAGCCUACCAAGGCAACGAUGGAUAGCUGGUCUGAGAGGAUGAUCAGCCACACUGGAACUGAGACACGGUCCAGACUCCUACGGGAGGCAGCAGUAAGGAAUAUUGCUCAAUGGCCGAAAGGCUGAAGCAGCAACGCCGCGUGAAGGAUGAAUGGCCUUUGGCCUGUAAACUUCUGUAAAAGGGAAAACAAUCAGGCAUGUCCUGAUUUGAUUGUACCUUUGAAGUAAGCCCCGGCUAACUACGUG
rnacentral:rRNA from 1 species